CCUACGGGAGGCAGCAGUAGGGAAUCUUCCGCAAUGGACGAAAGUCUGACGGAGCAACGCCGCGUGAACGAUGAGGGCCUUCGGGUCGUAAAGUUCUGUUGUUAGGGAAGAACAAGUGCUAGUUGAAUAAGCUGGCACCUUGACGGUACCUAACCAGAAAGCCGCGGCUAACUACGUGCCAGCAGCCGCGGUAAUACGUAGGUGGCAAGCGUUGUCCGGAAUUAUUGGGCGUAAAGCGCGCGCAGGCGGUUUCUUAAGUCUGAUGUGAAAGCCCCCGGCUCAACCGGGGAGGGUCAUUGGAAACUGGGAAACUUGAGUGCAGAAGAGGAAAGUGGAAUUCCAAGUGUAGCGGUGAAAUGCGUAGAGAUUUGGAGGAACACCAGUGGCGAAGGCGACUUUCUGGUCUGUAACUGACGCUGAGGCGCGAAAGCGUGGGGAGCAAACAGGAUUAGAUACCCUGGUAGUCCACGCUGUAAACGAUGAGUGCUAAGUGUUAGAGGGUUUCCGCCCUUUAGUGCUGAAGUUAACGCAUUAAGCACUCCGCCGUAGGGGAGUUACGGUCGACGAAGUACGUACGAAACUUAACGAAGUAGAAGUUCGGACGGACGUAGAGACGUACGACGACGACGACGACGAGGGAGGAGG
rnacentral:rRNA from 1 species